rnacentral:rRNA from 1 species
AACGUAGGAGACAAACGUUAUCCGGAGUUACUGGGCGUAAAGGGCGUGUAGGCGGUCUGUUAAGUCUGGCGUGAAAGCUCUCGGCUAAACCGGGAGAGGUCGUUGGAUACUGGCAGACUAGAGGACGGUAGAGGCGUGUGGAAUUCCGGGGUGUAGUGGUGAAAUGCGUAGAGAUCCGGAGGAACACCAGUGGCGAAGGCGGAUCUCUGGGCCUGUU